rnacentral:lncRNA from 1 species
AAUUGUUCCUGGAGAGGAAACAUAACAGAAAGCUUUAAAAAUUAUUGGAAGCAGGAAUUUGGCCUCCUAACUGUGUAUAUUUUUAAAAGAAUAUGCUACAUGAUCAGAAAAAAAUAAAAAAAUAUCGUAAAUCAAGAAAAAUGCUACAGCCAUAAUUUAUUCAUGAGUAAUCAAUCCCCAGAUCUUUUCUGCUAGACCACUGAGAAGGGAAUUGGGGAUUCUCCCCUGCGAUUUCCAUCCGUGAAGGAUAUGCUGUCUCGCCUUCCACCAAUGGCUCUUGAUUCCUCCUCUUGUUUCCUUUGUGGUUAACUACCCACAAAGUAGAUCUGGACAGUAUGAAUCACACACAUAAAAUAAAGACUUUCAGUUCAUCUUCAAUAAAACAGAAUAUUCUUUAAGCCCGCAUUGCUGGAGGAAAAUGAUUUCAUUAACAGAAACAUUUGGACAAGACACCAGAUGAUGCCUUUCACCUGCCAUAGCAAUUAAAAUGUCUCUAAUAAAAUACCAUCGAGAUAAAUUAUGAUUCUUUAUUUGGAGCUCAUCAAGAAGACCUA